GUGGUAGCUCAGUCGGGUAAGCGCCCGCUUCUCACGCCAGAGAUACGGGUUCGAACCCCGGCGCAGACA
rnacentral:tRNA from 1 species